rnacentral:ncRNA from 20 species
GUUUUUUAAGGAUAGAAAGGCUUCUAUCACGCUACAAUCAAGUAGUUGCCAGAGAUGUAGGGUACGCCGUCCUACUAUUUAAC